GGCACGCCGGGAACACGGAGCUCGCCUCGCGUCCACCCCGCACCCGGAAGGGCACAAGGCGGACGGGGAAAACCGAAACCAGAAAUUCCGUUUUGUUGGUAAGCAACACAGGAUACCGAACGAAACCCUCAAGGCAACAGCUGCGCUUGGGGAAAGACUGAAGCGGACGGCCUUCGAGCAGUUCGGUGCACGAGCACGGAGCCUGCCGACUGACGCCCUCCAAUCACCACUCACACGCCCUGCCGUUCACUUGGCUACAACCUUGCGGAGCGUCCCGUAGGCCCGAAGCAAUUGCCGUCGGGUCUACAGAAGCACCAAGCAAGGCUAAGCCAGCACCGUCGGACGCGAAAAGCAGCACACAUUUACUUUUUUCCGCAAAAACAAGGCCAUUCACUUGGCUACGACCUUGCCCAGCGUCCCGCAUGGCCCGAAGCAGUUGCCAUUGGGUCUACGGAAGCACCAACCAAGGCUAAGCCAGCACCGUCGGACGCAAAAAGCAGCACACAUUUACUUUUUUCCGCAAAAAACAAGGCCAUUCACUUGGCUACGACCUUGCCCAGCGUCCCGCAUGCCC
rnacentral:lncRNA from 1 species